rnacentral:sRNA from 1 species
CAUCCAGACUCUCUCAUAUGGACACUUAUACUUUUGACAGCACUGAUUUGGAAUUACUGCUGGAAACUCUGAAUAAGAAUGAAAUUUUCAUUGCAGUGAUAGCAGAUGAUGCAUCUAAUAAACUUGGCCAAGGGGCCAGAGAUUUGUUGAAUAAAAUUGGAAGUGGUCACAUACAAAAC